rnacentral:rRNA from 1 species
AUUGAACGCUGGUGGCAUGCUUAACACAUGCAAGUCGAACGGUAACAGGAAAGAGCUUGCUCUUUUGCUGACGAGUGGCGGACGGGUGAGUAACGCGUAGGAACAUGCCGAAUAGUGGGGGACAACUCAGGGAAACUUGAGCUAAUACCGCAUAAUAUCUACGGAUUAAAGGUGGCUUCGGCUGCCGCUAUUUGAUUGGCCUGCGUUAGAUUAGCUUGUUGGUGAGGUAAAGGCUCACCAAGGCGACGAUCUAUAGCUGUUCUGAGAGGAAGAUCAGCCACACUGGGACUGAGACACGGCCCAG